AGGCAGCCCCUAUUGCCGGAGAAAAAGAGAUGGCAUAGGAGGUGUUGCUUUGCUCCCAAAUCAAUAUCUUUUGCUCUUCAGAUGUGCUGAGAUGGGAAUGAGAUCUCUCUUCUCUUCUUUGAAGCUCGUCUAGUAAGCUCAAGUACAUC